GAUUAAUGCUAGCUGUGCGCCUAAUACAUGCAAGUCGAACGGUAAGGCCCUUUCGGGGGUACACGAGUGGCGGACGGGUGCGUAACGCGUAUGCAACAUGCCUUCCAGCGGGGGAUAUACCAGGGAAACUUGGCGCAAUACCCCAUAGAAUUACGGGACCGCACGGUCUUGUGAUUAAAACUCCGGUGCUGGGAGAUUGGCAUGCGUGACAUUAGCUAGUUGGCGGGGUAACGGCCCACCAAGGCGACGAUGUCUAGCUGGUCUGAGAGGAUGAUCCGCCACACUGGGACUGAGACACGGCCCAGACUCCUACGGGAGGCAGCAGUGGGGAAUUUUGGACAAUGGGCGAAAGCCUGAUCCAGCCAUGCCGCGUGAGUGAAGAAGGCCUCGG
rnacentral:rRNA from 1 species